rfam:Cavia porcellus supercont2_20 genomic scaffold, whole genome shotgun sequence.
AGUUUUGCACAGGGGCAGUAUUAUAGCCAAUGAGGUUUACACGAGGUGCAACUACUGCUAAUUGAAAACAGAAUUGUCUUAAUUAUGGUUUUUUUUUUUUUGAGGUAUAUAAACAUAU